rnacentral:rRNA from 1 species
AGUGAACGCUGGCGGUAGGCCUAACACAUGCAAGUCGAACGGCAGCACAGUAAGAGCUUGCUCUUACGGGUGGCGAGUGGCGGACGGGUGAGGAAUACAUCGGAAUCUACUUUUUCGUGGGGGAUAACGUAGGGAAACUUACGCUAAUACCGCAUACGACCUACGGGUGAAAGCAGGGGAUCUUCGGACCUUGCGCGAUUGAAUGAGCCGAUGUCGGAUUAGCUAGUUGGCGGGGUAAAGGCCCACCAAGGCGACGAUCCGUAGCGGGUCUGAGAGGAUGAUCAGCCACACUGGAACUGAGACACGGUCCAGACUCCUACGGGAGGCAGCAGUGGGGAAUAUUGGACAAUGGGCGCAAGCCUGAUCCAGCCAUACCGCGUGGGUGAAGAAGGCCUUCGGGUUGUAAAGCCCCUUUGUUGGGAAAGAAAAGCAGCAGGUUAAUACCCCGCUGUUCUGACGGUACCCAAAGAAUAAGCACCGGCUAACUUCGUG